rnacentral:rRNA from 1 species
UGCUACAGGCUUAACACAUGCAAGUCGAGGGGCAGCAUUUCAGUUUGCUUGCAAACUGGAGAUGGCGACCGGCGCACGGGUGAGUAACACGUAUCCAACCUGCCGAUAACUCGGGGAUAGCCUUUCGAAAGAAAGAUUAAUACCCGAUGGUAUAAUCAGACCGCAUGGUCUUGUUAUUAAAGAAUUUCGGUUAUCGAUGGGGAUGCGUUCCAUUAGGCAGUUGGUGAGGUAACGGCUCACCAAACCUUCGAUGGAUAGGGGUUCUGAGAGGAAGGUCCCCCACAUUGGAACUGAGACACGGUCCAAACUCCUACGGGAGGCAGCAGUGAGGAAUAUUGGUCAAUGGGCGCAGGCCUGAACCAGCCAAGUAGCGUGAAGGAUGACUGCCCUAUGGGUUGUAAACUUCUUUUAUAUGGGAAUAAAGUUUUCCACGUGUGGAAUUUUGUAUGUACCAUAUGAAUAAGGAUCGGCUAACUCCGUGCCAGCAGCCGCGGUAAUACGGAGGAUCCGAGCGUUAUCCGGAUUUAUUGGGUUUAAAGGGAGCGUAGGUGGACAGUUAAGUCAGUUGUGAAAGUUUGCGGCUCAACCGUAAAAUUGCAGUUGAUACUGGCUGUCUUGAGUACAGUAGAGGUGGGCGGAAUUCGUGGUGUAGCGGUGAAAUGCUUAGAUAUCACGAAGAACUCCGAUUGCGAAGGCAGCUCACUGGACUGCAACUGACACUGAUGCUCGAAAGUGUGGGUAUCAAACAGGAUUAGAUACCCUGGUAGUCCACACAGUAAACGAUGAAUACUCGCUGUUUGCGAUAUACAGUAAGCGGCCAAGCGAAAGCAUUAAGUAUUCCACCUGGGGAGUACGCCGGCAACGGUGAAACUCAAAGGAAUUGACGGGGGCCCGCACAAACGGAGGAACAUGUGGUUUAAUUCGAUGAUACGCGAGGAACCUUACCCGGGCUUAAAUUGCAUUUGAAUAUAUUGGAAACAGUAUAGCCGUAAGGCAAAUGUGAAGGUGCUGCAUGGUUGUCGUCAGCUCGUGCCGUGAGGUGUCGGCUUAAGUGCCAUAACGAGCGCAACCCUUAUCUUUAGUUACUAACAGGUCAUGCUGAGGACUCUAGAGAGACUGCCGUCGUAAGAUGUGAGGAAGGUGGGGAUGACGUCAAAUCAGCACGGCCCUUACGUCCGGGGCUACACACGUGUUACAAUGGGGGGUACAGAAGGCAGCUACCUGGUGACAGGAUGCUAAUCCCAAAAGCCUCUCUCAGUUCGGAUCGAAGUCUGCAACCCGACUUCGUGAAGCUGGAUUCGCUAGUAAUCGCGCAUCAGCCAUGGCGCGGUGAAUACGUUCCCGGGCCUUGUACACACCGCCCGUCAAGCCAUGAAAGCCGGGGGUACCUGAAGUACGUAACCGCAAGGAGCGUCCUAGGGUAAAACUGGUAAUUGGGGCUA